UUUCGGGAGAUUUUCGGGAGAAAAUUUGUCCCCGGGAGGUUUUCGGGAGAGCCUCUGAAUUUCGGGAGUCUCCCGUAAAAUCCGGGAGGGUCGGCAAGUAUGCAUAAAACACGUCCUAGAAAGUCGGAGAAAGUUAUACAUGUACACAAACUAAGGUGAGUUCAAGGACCGCCAAAAUUAGUAGGACAAAACGGCGCUCGCCAAAUACUCGAAUCAGUGAGGCAUGUUUAAUAUGACCAGUGUGCUUUAUAACAAUUAUGUUUGUCCUCCUACGGAAACCAUAUUAAAACAAACAAAAAAAAAUGUUUCCCCUCAUCUUUUUCCAUUUUUCUUACAUUUUUGAAAAAGCUCCAGAGAGCCACUUGGGCGGCGCUAAAGAGCCGCGGGUUGCCGACCCCUGAACCAGACAAUGCAAUUGUAAUAGAAAUUGCGGUUAAAAAGCUACAAAGCUAACAGUUAAGAUGCUAACAUGCUAACAGUUAGCAUGCAAGUAAGAUAGCGCCACAUUUUCAUGACUUUUAGUUUGACACCUACAACAUUGGCUAAAAUGUUAACAGUUAUCAUGCUAACAUUUUUUAUUUAUUAUACUCUUGGGUGUACCUUGCCUUUCGCCCGAACGCAGCUGGGGUAGGCUCCAGCCACCCCGAGAGGGACCAGCGGUAGAAAGUGGAUGGAUGGGUGGAUGUACUUUUACACAGAAGAGCCCCAUUGAGAUUAAAGAAACCAUUUUUAAGGAGGUCCUACUACAAACUCAUUCACCUUUCUUCACUAGUAUGUGAGAAAGGUGGGUGAAGUGUCCUGCCCAAGGGUACAACGGCAGUGACUAGAAAGCCAGAACCUAGAUUUGUACCAGGAACCUAUAAGUUUCUGUAUGACCGCUCUUCCAUCUGAGACAUUUGCUACUCUACUGUACACUACACUUGUACUUUGAUACCUUAGGUAACAGUUCAAGAGUUCGCAUGCUAACAUACUAACAACGCAUGCUAGCAAGAUAGCACCUAGCAACGAUAUCCAUGACUUUAAGGUUUAUACAGAUAACAUUGGCUAAAAUACUAACAUACUAGCUGUUGGCAUCCUCUAUGAUAACGGUUAGCAUGCUAGUAAGAUAGUCAUGAGUUAUAGUUUGAUACCAACAAAAUUGGGUACAAUUUCAACAGUUAGCAUGCUAAAAUACUAACAGUUAGCAUGCUAGCAAGAUAGCACCUAGCAACGAUAUCCAUGACUUUAAGGUUUAUACAGAUAACAUUGGCUAAAAUACUCACAUACUAGCUGUUGGCAUCCUCUAUGAUAACGGUUAGCAUGCUAGUAGUCAUGACUUUUAGUUUGAUACCAACAAAAUUGGGUACAAUUUCAACAGUUAGCAUGCUAAAAUACUAACAGUUAGCAUGCUAGCAAGAUAGCACCUAGCAAUGAUAUCCAUGACUUUAAGGUUUAUACAGAUAACAUUGGCUAAAAUACUAACAUACUAGCUGUUGGCAUCCUCUAACGGUUAGCAUGCUAGUAAGAUAGUCAUGUAACCGUAGUCAUGACUUUUAGUUUGAUACCAACAAAAUUGGGUACAAUUUCAACAGUUAGCAUGCUAGCAAGAUAGCACCUAGCAACGAUAUCCAUGACUUUUAGGUUUAUACAGAUAACAUUGGCUAAAAUACUAAUAUACUAGCUGUUGGCAUCCUCUAUGAUAACGGUUAGCAUGCUAGUAAGAUAGUCAUGUAACCGUAGUCAUGACUUUUAGUUUGAUACCAACAAAAUUGGGUACAAUUUCAACAGUUAGCAUGCUAAAAUACUAACAGUUAGCAUGCUAGCAAGAUAGCAUCUAGCAACGAUAUCCAUGACUUUUAGGUUCAUACCGACCAACAUACUAACUGUUAGCAUGCUAGUAAGAUAGCGCCAAGUAACCAGUUUUAGUUUGAUACCUACAAAACUGUAAGAUUUUAACAGUUAGCAUGCUAACAUAUUAACCGUUAGAACGCUAGCAAAAUAGCGUCUAGUAACAAUACCCAUGACUUUUAGGUUCAUACCCACAAAAUUGGCUAAAAUAUUAAACAGGAUAACUGUUAGCAUCCUCUAUGAUAACUGUUAGCAUGCUAGUAAGCUAUUGUCAAGUAACCAUAGUCAUGACUUUGAAUUUGAUACCAACAAAAUUGAGUAAAAUUUCAACAGUUAGCAUGCUAACAUACUAACGGUUAGAAUGCUAGCAAGAUAGCACCUAGCAACGAUAUCCAUGACUUUUAGGUUUUUACCGACUAACAUACUAACUGUUAGCAUCCUAUAUGAUAACAGUUAGCAUGCUAGUAAGAUAGCGCCAAGUAACCCGUUUUCGUUUUAUACCUUCAAAACUGGGUAAGAUUUCAAUAGUUAGCAUGCUAACAUACUAACAGAUACAAUGCUAGUAAGAUUGCGCUUAGUAACAAUAUCCAUGACUUUUAGGUUCAUACCCACAAAAUUGGGUAAAAUAUUAAACAGGAUAACUGUUAGCAUCCUCUAUGAUAACUGUUAGCAUGCUAGUAAGAUAUUGUCAAGAAACCAUAGUCAUGACUUUUAAUUUGAUACCAACAAAAUUGAGUAAAAUUUCAACAGUUAGCAUGCUAGCAUACUAACAGUUAGAAUGCUAGCAAGAUAGCACCUAGCAACGAUAUCCAUGACUUUUAGGUUUAUACCGACUAACAUACUAACUGUUAGCAUGCUAGUAAGAUAGCGCCAAGUAACCAGUUUUAGUUUGAUACCUACAAAACUGUAAGAUUUUAACAGUUAGCACGCUAACAUAUUAACAGAACGCUAGCAAGAUAGCGUAUAGUAGCAAUAUCCAUGACUUUUAGGUUCAUACCCACAGAAUUGGCUAAAAUGUUAAACAGGAUAACUGUUAGCAUCCUCUAUGAUAACUGUUAGCAUGCUGGUAAGCUAUUGUCAAGUAACCAUAGUCAUGACUUUGAAUUUGAUACCAACAAAAUUGGGUAAAAUUUCAACAGUUAGCAUGCUAACAUACUAACAGUUAGAAUGCUAGCAAGAUAGCACCUAGCAACGAUAUCCAUGACUUUUAGGUUCAUACCAACUAACAUACUAACUGUUAGCAUCCUAUAUGAUAACUGUUAGCAUGCUAGUAAGAUAGCGCCAGGUAACCAGUUUUCGUUUUAUACCUUCAAAACUGGGUAGGAUUCCAAUAGUUAGCAUGCUAACAUACUAACAGAUACAAUGCUAGUAAGAUAGCGCUUAGUAACAAUAUCCAUGACUUUUAGGUUCAUACCCACAAAAUUGGGUAAAAUAUUAAACAGGAUAACUGUUAGCAUCCUCUAUGAUAACUGUUAGCAUGCUAGUAAGAUAUUGUCAAGUAACCAUAGUCAUGACUUUGAAUUUGAUACCAACAAAAUUGGGUAAAAUUUCAACAGUUAGCAUGCUAACAUACUAACAGUUAGAAUGCUAGCAAGAUAGCACCUAGCAUCGAUAGAAAAGACACCGAUAAGAUUACCCAAAAUACUAACUCUUAGCAUCCUCUAUGAUAACUGUUGGCAUGCUAGUAAGAUAGCGCCAAGUAACCAGUUUUAGUUUGAUACCUACAAAACUAAGUUUUUAACAGUUAGCAUGCUAGCAACGCUACCCAAAAAAUUUACUAAUAUGCUAACGUAGUCAUUGUUAUAUGUCAACUGUUAGCAUGUUAGCACCUAGCAUGACAUGAUUUUGAAUGAAAAACAUUUGCUGUAAUUGAUAUUCCCAUGAAAUAUGUAAAACUGUCAUGCUUGAAAUCCUGGAAUUUAAAAAUUUGACUUCCUUCAAUUGGAAUUGGAAUUGCAGUUCUACUUCCUGUUUGCAACCUCAGUUCAAUAGAAUUUGGGGGUCAUUCCCAAGUCAAUUUGUCAUUUUGCACAAGCUUUCCGGACGUAGAUACCUGAUACCACAAAUGGCAUGAUAUCGAGGGAGGAUUUAGAACACCGGAGAUGGUGUUUAAAGGAGACGAGAGCAACAGAAUGGUGUUCUAGAAGGUCUCCACCCAGGCCUGACAACCAAACACAGGACUUUAAAGAAGACGUGACUAAUGUUCAUGUGUGUACUAUGCAUGGUACAUCAGGGUGUGACCUCAAAUGUACCCUUACAGUCCAAAUACGGUGCUGGUCCAUGACAAGUAAAUAUGAGCAGGUUUUUGUCAUGGAACCAUGGUAAUGUUUCCUGGCAUAGAAGACACGUUUAAUAAGAAAUUGGACAAAAAAACGGAGCAUUUUCUGUGCAUGUUGUGAAAUAUAGUCUUAUGUUUUCUCUCCUCACAUCAUGUGUGGCAAGUCAACUGUGAUCCAUCUCGAGGGGACCACUGCAGGUGGUCAGUGAGUCAAAAGGAAGUCAUUGUAGCAUUGUUUCAUCUUGUGUCACUGAAAUCUUCAAUAAACUCUUCUCCCU